AACGAAGUUAGAUGAGCUAUGUAAAUAUAAGUUUUAGCUUAAUGAGCAUGUGGCAUAAUGCAAAUUAAAUAAUUACCUAGGGGUGAUAGGCCUACCAAAUCUAACGAUAUCUUGAUACUUUUGAAAAACAUUUAGUGUUACAACAACUAAGUAGUUAUAAGGCUAUUUAGGAUCAUAAAUAUCUAUUUAUAAUAUUUUCUAGGUUUAAUUAUCAGAUAAUUUAUUGAUUAUUAUUUAUUUAUUUUGAGUUAUGUGUUCUAAAAAGUUGUAUAAAAAUAUAUUAUUAUGUUAAUAAUGUAAUUAUGAGUAAUAUAGUUAACAAGAAUAAACUCGGCAAUAUGCCCUUCAACUGUUUAUCAAAAACAUAGCUACGCGCACUUAUGCGUAGUAAUUUCUGCUCAAUGAGACAUUCAAUAGCCGCAGUACUCUGACUGUGCAAAGGUAGCGUAAUAAUUUGACUUAUAAUUGAAGUCUAGUAUGAAUGAAUAUAUGGGGGGCAGCUUUAUCCUUGUUAUUUUGUAAAAUUACUUUGUAAGUGCAAAUACUUACAAUAAAAAACGAUAGACGAGAAGACCCUAGAAAUUUUAAUUAUACGUUUCUUUAACCUUUUUGUUGGGGCAACAGAGUAACACAGAACUUACUUAUAUGAACAAGAACAUUAUAUGAGAUAGAAUAAAUUACUCUAGGGAUAACAGCGUAAUUUUUAAGAGUUUGCGACCUCGAUGUUGGACUAGGAAACAGUUGUUUAGAA
rnacentral:rRNA from 1 species